UACGUAGGGUGCAAGCGUUGUCCGGAAUUAUUGGGCGUAAAGAGCUCGUAGGCGGUUCGUCGCGUCGGCUGUGAAAACCCGGAGCUCAACUCCGGGCCUGCAGUCGAUACGGGCGGACUUGAGUGUUGCAGGGGAGACUGGAAUUCCUGGUGUAGCGGUGAAAUGCGCAGAUAUCAGGAGGAACACCGGUGGCGAAGGCGGUUCUCUGGGCCUGUACUGACGCUGAGGAGCGAAAGCGUGGGGAGCGAACAGG
rnacentral:rRNA from 1 species